rfam:Oryza meridionalis cultivar OR44 (W2112) chromosome 1, whole genome shotgun sequence.
AAUAAGUGUAGUUUUGGCACUGUUCAUAUCCAACGUUUGACCGUUCAUCUUAUUUAAAAAAAAUAUGAUUAGUAUUUUUAUUUAAUUAGAUGAUAAAACAUGAAUAGUAUUUUAUGUGUGACUAAUUUUUAAAUGUUUUUUAAUAAAAUUUUCAAAUAAUACGCCAAUCAAAACGCUGAACACAUAUAUCUAUGGCUACAUUUACU